rnacentral:tRNA from 1 species
GCCUGGCUGGCUUAGUCGGUAGAGCACGUAACUCUUAAUCUUGCGGUUGUGAGUUCAGAGCCCCAUGUUGGGCA